CCUACGGGAGGCUGCAGUAAGGAAUAUUGGUCAAUGGACGCAAGUCUGAACCAGCCAUGCCGCGUGGAGGAUGAAGGUCCUCUGGAUUGUAAACUUCUUUUAUUUGGGAAGAAACUCCCGAUUUCCAUCGGGAUUGACGGUACCAGAUGAAUAAGCACCGGCUAACUCCGUGCCAGCAGCCGCGGUAAUACGGAGGGUGCAAGCGUUAUCCGGAUUCACUGGGUUUAAGGGGUCAGGAAAGUCGCAGGUGAAUUCUCCGGGCUUAACCCGGAAACUGCCAUUGAUACUAUUUGUCUUGAAUAGUCAGGAGGUGAGCGGAAUAUGUCAUGUAGCGGUGAAAUGCUUAGAUAUGACAUAGAACACCCAUUGCGAAGGCAGCUCACUACGGAAAUAUUGACGCUGAGGCACGAAAGCGUGGGGAUCAAACAGGAUUAGAUACCCCUGUAGUC
rnacentral:rRNA from 1 species